UCAUAUCAUGUUGAAACACUGGUUCUCAUCUGAUUACCGAAGUUAAGCAACACUGAACCUGGUCAGUACCUAAAUGGGUGAUCCCUUAGGAAUGCCAGGUGCUGUAA